rnacentral:tRNA from 1 species
GGAGGAAUGCCGGAGUGGACAAACGGCCACGCCUGGAGAGCGUUGGGGGGCGAAAGCCCCACCUGGGUUCGAAUCCCAGUUCCUCCG